rnacentral:rRNA from 1 species
AGCAGUCGCCGCGGGAACACGAAGGGGGCUAGCGUUGCUCGGAAUCACUGGGCGUAAAGGGUGCGUAGGCGGGUCUUUAAGUCAGAGGUGAAAUCCUGGAGCUCAACUCCAGAACUGCCUUUGAUACUGAGGAUCUUGAGUUCGGGAGAGGUGAGUGGAACUGCGAGUGUAGAGGUGAAGUUCGUAGAUAUUCGCAAGAACACCAGUGGCGAAGGCGGCUCACUGGCCCGAUACUGACGCUGAGGCACGAAAGCGUGGGGAGCAAACAGGAUUAGAUACCCCGGUAGUCCCUGUCUCUUAUAC